rnacentral:rRNA from 1 species
UACGGAGGGAGCUAGCGUUGUUCGGAAUUACUGGGCGUAAAGCGCGCGUAGGCGGCUUUGUAAGUUAGAGGUGAAAGCCCGGGGGCUCAACCCCCGGAACUGCCUUUAAGACUGCAUCGCUUGAAUCCAGGAGAGGUGAGUGGAAUUCCGAGUGUAGAGGUGAAAUUCGUAGAUAUUCGGAAGAACACCAGUGGCGAAGGCGGCUCACUGGACUGGU